rnacentral:rRNA from 1 species
GACGAACGCUGGCGGCGUGCUUAACACAUGCAAGUCGAACGGAAAGGCCCUGCUUUUGUGGGGUGCUCGAGUGGCGAACGGGUGAGUAACACGUGAGUAACCUGCCCUUGACUUUGGGAUAACUUCAGGAAACUGGGGCUAAUACCGGAUAUGAGCUCCUGCUGCAUGGUGGGGUUUGGAAAGUUUCGGCGGUUGGGGAUGGACUCGCGGCUUAUCAGCUUGUUGGUGGGGUAGUGGCUUACCAAGGCUUUGACGGGUAGCCGGCCUGAGAGGGUGACCGGCCACAAUGGGACUGAGGUACGGACCAGAAUCCUACGGGAGGCAGCAGUGGGGAAUAUUGCACAAUGGGCGGAAGCCUGAUGCAGAAACGCCGCGUGCGGGAUGACGGCCUUCGGGUUGUAAACCGCUUUCGCCUGUGACGAAGCGUGAGUGACGGUAAUGGGUAAAGAAGCACCGGCUAACUACGUG